AGUGAACGCUGGCGGUAGGCCUAACACAUGCAAGUCGAACGGCAGCACAGUAAGAGCUUGCUCUUACGGGUGGAGAGUGGCGGACGGGUGAGGAAUACAUCGGAAUCUACUUUUUCGUGGGGGAUAACGUAGGGAAACUUACGCUAAUACCGCAUACGACCUACGGGUGAAAGCAGGGGAUCUUCGGACCUUGCGCGAUUGAAUGAGCCGAUGUCGGAUUAGCUAGUUGGCGGGGUAAAGGCCCACCAAGGCGACGAUCCGUAGCUGGUCUGAGAGGAUGAUCAGCCACACUGGAACUGAGACACGGUCCAGACUCCUACGGGAGGGAGCAGUGGGGAAUAUUGGACAAUGGGCGCAAGCCUGAUCCAGCCAUACCGCGUGGGUGAAGAAGGCCUUCGGGUUGUAAAGCCCUUUUGUUGGGAAAGAAAAGCAGCAGGUUAAUACCCCGCUGUUCUGACGGUACCCAAAGAAUAAGCACCGGCUAACUUCGUG
rnacentral:rRNA from 1 species